rnacentral:lncRNA from 1 species
AAAAUAAACAGAAUAGGCAAACGUGAAGCAGGGGAAGGGAAGGAAGAAAGAAAGGAAAGAAAGAAAAGGGAAAAUUCAAGGUUUGAAGCUUUAAAGUUUAAUAGGUAAGUCAAUUUAGCCUUUUUUUACUUAGUUUUGAUGUUUUAAAAGUUUUAGAACAAAGUUUUGAUGAAAUUAAGUUAAUAUUUUGAAAGUUAUUAGAUUUCUAAAUAUUGUUCAUGUUGAAUAAAAAGAUGAAUUAGGGAUUAAAUUGAUAGAAAUUCAAGUUAGAAAUGAAAUAAGGAUUGAAUUGUAAAGUAAUUCAUAAGUUUUAUGUUGUAGAGACUAAAUUGAUGAAAUUUUGAAAUAAGGAAAAUAUGCUGGAAAUUUUAUAGUUAAGUAUGAGUUUGGACAAAAUUUGAAUAGAAAUGAAGUAUGAAUUGAGAUAGAAAAAGUAAGUGAAUUUAGUUAAGAUUAAAUUAAAAUUAAAGUAGAAAUUGAAUAGAAAUUGUAUUAAUUAGAUAUAAAUUAGUAGUGAAUUAACGAAUAUGAAUUGUUUUAAUUCCCAUAGCUAACGUUGUCUCGGGAAAUUUCGGCUAAGCAAGGAAAACUGGCAAAGACAACGGGAGUUAGCUCGAGAAAAUACGGUUUGUAUUUCUAUAAUCCGAACCUAGUUAUUAAUUGUUAUAUUUUUUAUUCAAUGUAAUUAAUAAAUAUUGAACUGAGAAUUAUUGUGUUUAUAAUGGAAAUGGAUUAAUUUGGUAUGUGAUGAAUUUAUAUUGAUUAAAUUAAAUUGAAUUAUAUAUUAUAAAUAUAUAUAUGUGUGUGUGAAUGAGAUAUUGUGCAAUUAUGAUAAUUGAAUUUUGGAUAAAUGUUAUGAUAAAUAAUUAAGAUGGGAAUUAUUUGUAUUGUGUCUUUAUAAUUGAAAUGAAUUGAUUUAGUGUGUGAUAAAUUUAUAUUGAAUUGAUUUAUGAAUAUAUGUGAAUGUUUGAAUUGAAAUGAAUAUUGAUGUGGAAAUUGAAUAAUAAAUAUUUGUUAUAUUGGAAAAUAUAUGUAGUUGGAAGUGUGAUGAAAUUGAUAGAAAAUUGUGAUUAUUGUGAAAUUGAAUAUUUAUUAGUGAAAAGUGAAUGGAAUUAUAUUGAAUUGAAAAUAUAUAUUUUAUUAAUUAAAAUAUGAAUUAAUUGAAAACUGGAAAGUGAAUUAAAUACCCUAUUAACUAGUCGGACUAGUCGGAUAUAGUGGGCAUGCCAUAGGAUAUGAAAGAGUACGGGUUUUGCCGGCUUACUGAUCAGGCACUUAUGUGCUGACUACUGUUACUGUUACCGUUACUGUUACCGAUUCGGCACUUUGUGUGUCAGAUGUUGUUACUAUUACCGUUACUGUUACUGUUUCGGAUUUGUUUCGAUGAGGUACUCCGUGUACCGUACUGUUACUGUUCCGGAUUUGUUUCAAUGAGGUACUCUGUGUACCGUACUGCUACUGUUACUAUUACUGUUACUGUUCCGGCUUCGGCUGAUGAGGCACUAUGUGCCGUACUAGUGUGUUGGUUGGAUCCGUGUAUCUGUCUAGGUCCGAGUCAUGUUAAUAAGGGUAAAUAAAGGAACUAGAAAGAUCGAUUGUUACUGAAUAAUUUAAUUAUUACUGUAUAUUUGAUUUUUACUGAAUAAUUGACUGUUACUGGAUAACCGAUCAAUUGAUUGAUACUGAAUAACUGAUUAUUAUUGAAUAAUUGAUUGUUACCGAAUAACUGACUAUUACUAAAUAAAUAAUUGUUCUGAUUGACUGAUCGUUAAUGAAUAUUACUGAUUGAUUAAUUGCUAUUGAAAAAUAAUAAAUGAUUUUGAAUUUAAAGUAGACCAAAACAUUAGUUGGAAAGUGAAUGUUUGAAUACUCAUUGAGUUUGAAAAGUUCAAUAUAUAUAAAUUAAUAUGUUUUAUAAUUGUUUAAGUGUUCGGAUUAUAGAAAUACCACUGAGUGUAUACUCAGCGUGCGGUUUGUUUCCGUGCGCAGGUUAAGGCUAGACCGUUGAAUCAGCAUCCCAAGUCGAUCCUGAAUUCAAUGAGGUAAAGUAUGUUGAGUAUUGGUAAUGGCGUGUACCUAGGACGUCUUAUGAGAGUCAUUUAGGUUGUGAAAGUAUUGAUAAAACAAGUAAAUUAUGGUUGGCAAUGGUAUAUAGUAUGAAUUUGAAAUUUGAAAGAAAAAUUCGUAGUAAUUCUCAUUUAGUCCCGAAUUGAUUUUACUGUUCAUAUUGGACCGCGAGGGCCCAUUAAAGUGACGUCAUCUUAAAAUUAUGAUGACUCUAAAUGUUUAUAUUUAAUUAAUGUCUGUAUUGUACGGUACUGAUUGGUAAUGUCUCAUAACCCUAUUCUAGCGACGGUAUGGGGUUAGGGGUCGUUACAAUAAGAACUUAUGAGUAUUAUAGUAAUGGAUUGUAGUUUAUGCGAAUAGAAGGUUGAAUUAAGUUUUUUUUUUGUGAAAAGGUUGAAUUGAGUUUUAAAUACAUGUACUUGUAAUGUUUUAUGCCAUAAUAAAGUCAUUUGUUUCAUUUUGUUCAAUGAGUGAUUAAAGUUUAGUUCAAAUAAAUAUGUAUAUGAAAUGGCCUAAGUUAUUAAAAGAUGAAAUGGAAAACAUUGAUAUAUGUAGUUUGUAUGAAUAAGGUAUUAUUUAAAUACAUGAUGAAUGAUAUAUAUAGAAUGUUUACUGUGAUAUAUUCCAUGAAUUGGUUGAAUUUAUAUGCUCCUUUAUCCACCUACUAACCUUGUAAAGCUGUGUGUAUAGGAGUGAAAUGUAUGCAUGAUCUAAUGAAUGAAUCCAUGCUUGAAUGGUUUAAAUAUAACAUGUUUGGUAAGUUUAAGUUGGCAUUAUACGAGCUUAUUAAGCUAAUUGCUUAUGUUAGUUGUUUAUCAUUCUGUAGGUCGUCAAAAAGCUCGAACGGCUGGAAUCAAGUCAAAGUACAUUCACACUAUCCACCCUUCAUCUCAGGAGAAGAUUUGGAUAUUUUGAUGUCGGGUUAUAAAUGGCAUGUACUAGGAGUUUAAGUUAUUUUGUUUAUGAUGGUGUUGUUUAUAAGUUAGUUUGAGUAAGUUUUGCAUUGUAUAUAUAUAUGUUUGGUAUCUUUGGGUUAUGUUUGUGACUGGUAGUGCUUUUGGUCAUUAGCUAAAUGCCUAUUAUGAUUAGCUUGAUAUAUGGUAAAUGGAUGUGAUGAAAUGGAGGUUUUAGUAUGUCUUAAAAGUAAUGUCUUGUAAAUAUUAAGUAUGGGUUUGUUUAGAUGUUUAAUUUGUGGUACCAAUGAGGGUACAUUGGAUAGGCAUUUAGAUUGGAUGAUAUGUGUGUUCUGAUCAUUUUAGUUAUGCCUCUUGAAAGUAGAUAGCUUAUGGCUUAAUGAAAUGUGAAUGAAAUGGUUAUUUGGUAUGUUUGCUACAGGUUGAGGUGUGAACCUGCAACAUUGUAAUUGAAUUGAUUUGGUGUUUGAAUUGAGGUGCCAAGUCAUGGCAUAUUGGUUAGGCA